rnacentral:sRNA from 16 species
UGUCGGAAUAUCUGCUAAAAUUCCGCAUUUUCCGCACCGGGUUUCCGCACCGGGACACUCGGGGCGUAUGUUCAAUUUGUCGGAAUGGAGUUUUUAGGGAUAUGGGGUUGAAAAA